rnacentral:rRNA from 1 species
GAUGAACGCUGGCGGCGUGCCUAAUACAUGCAAGUCGAGCGAACAGACGAGGAGCUUGCUCCUCUGACGUUAGCGGCGGACGGGCGAGUAACACGUGGAUAACCUACCUAUAAGACUGGGAUAACUUCGGGAAACCGGAGCUAAUACCGGAUAAUAUAUUGAACCGCAUGGUUCAAUAGUGAAAGACGGUUUUGCUGUCACUUAUAGAUGGAUCCGCGCCGCAUUAGCUAGUUGGUAAGGUAACGGCUUACCAAGGCAACGAUGCGUAGCCGACCUGAGAGGGUGAUCGGCCAAACUGGAACUGAGACACGGUCCAGACUCCUACGGGAGGCAGCAGUAGGGAAUCUCCCGCAAUGGGCGAAAGCCUGACGGAGCACCGCCGCGUGAGUGAUGAAGGUCUUCGGAUCGUAAAACUCUGUUAUUAGGGAAGAACAAAUGUGUAAGUAACUAUGCACGUCUUGACGGUACCUAAUCAGAAAGCCACGGCUAACUAC